rnacentral:rRNA from 1 species
GUAGGUGGCAAGCGUUGUCCGGAAUUAUUGGGCGUAAAGCGCGCGCAGGCGGUUCUUUAAGUCUGAUGUGAAAGCCCACGGCUCAACCGUGGAGGGUCAUUGGAAACUGGAGAACUUGAGUACAGAAGAGGAAAGCGGAAUUCCACGUGUAGCGGUGAGAUGCGUAGAGAUGUGGAGGAACACCAGUGGCGAAGGCGGCUUUCUGGUCUGUAACUGACGCUGAGGCGCGAAAGCGUGGGGGAGCAAACAGGAUUAGAUACCCUGGUAGUCUACGCCGUAAACGAUGAGUGCUAAGUGUUAGGGGGUUUCCGCCCCUUAGUGCUGCAGCUAACGCAUUAAGCACUCCGCCUGGGAGUACGGCCGCAAGGCUG